CGCGAUACUGGUCGCUAGUGAUGCGCACGCGCAGGGGCCUUCCCGCGCUUGCGCGGAGUGGGCCGCUGUCGCGCUCCGCCCCGGAACGUGGGGAAAGUGGCGGACUACCGUUAGCCGCCGCCGCGGCGUUCUCCCGAGCCGGCGUCGCAGCUGGAGGGCCUGGCAGGUUGCGUGCUCCGCUGGACAGCUGCCUGGGGAGUCCCUGCGCCGGUCAAAGCCUGUGUUUCCUCCUCGCGAGGCUGAGGUGAGAACACUACGAGGUGAGGACCAGGUCUUGAGUUGUGAGGCAGCAACUCCAUCCUGGGGCAGAGCCUCUGGAGGCCCCGUUGCAGCUGCAGUGGUGGACUGCCAAGCCACCAGGUCGCCCGGACGGGAGGGCUCCGUCAAGGUCUUACUGGGGCAGCAUGGCCCACACAACUGCAACGAAAGGACACACCCCUGAGGACAUCACCUCCUCUCAUGGCGAGUACAUGACAAAGGUUUGUCCUUUUAGAGACGAUCCUAGAACUGGAAUGAUACAGGAUGGAACUUUCUCAGACAGGCUGCUUUCACUCAGCAAUAAUGCCUGUGACAUCCACCCAAGCUGUCAUAAGGAACAACAGCUGAUGACCUUUUUCAUUGCCAAGCAACUCUCCGUUGUAUGAAUGUACCAAAGUGGGCUUGUUUCGUUUUUUAUUCAUUCGCUUGUUGAAGGACAUCUGGGUUGUGUCCAGUUUUUGGUGGUCAUGAGGUCAUGAGUGGAGUUGCUAUAAACAUUUGUGUGAACUUGAGUUUCAUUUCUCUAAAGUUAACACCCACAUGUGAGAUUGCUGGGUCAUACAAUUAGCGUAUGUUUAACUUCAGAAGAAACUCCCAAAUGUUUUCUAGAAUGGUUGUACCAUUCUGUACUUAUUCCAACAACAUAUAAAAAUUCUAGCUGUGCCUUAUCCUUGACAAACAUGGUAUUGUAUUUUUUUAUUAUUAUAGCCAUUCUAAUAGGUAUGAGGUGGAUCUUAUUCUGGUUCUGUUUCUCUCUAGUGCCUAAUGAUGUUGAACAUAUUUUACUUGCCUAUUUACAUGCCAUCUAGACAGUCCCAAUGGGAAAAAGUCUGUUCAAGUCCUUUGCCCAUUUUUAAGCAAGUUAUGAUCUUGCUAUUGAGUUCUGAGAGUUCUUUAUAUAUUCAAAACACAAGUUCUCUGUUAGUACGUCAUUUGCAAAUAUUUCCUCCCAGUUGGGAGUCUGUCUUUUCUUUCACUUAGUAGUGUCUUCACAGAGCAAAAGUUUUAAAUUUUAAUGAGACUCCAUUUACCAAUUUUUUCUUUAUGGACUUUGCUUUUGGUGGAAUGUCUUAAGAACUAAUCCCAAGUCAUGAUGAAGAUUUUUCUCCUGUGUGUGUGUGUGUGUGGUUUUUUUUCCCCUAAAGGUUAUCAUUACAUUUAAGUCUGGAAUACAUUAUGAGUUAAGUUUUCUGUAACAUGUGAGGUCUAAGCCAAGGCUCAGAUUUUUGCUUAUCGAUGUCCAGUUGUUCCAACACCAUUUGUUAAACUACCCUUUGCCCUGUGAUUGCUUUUGAAUCUUUGUCAAAAAUCAAUUACCCAAAUUUGUAUGCAUUUAGUUGCACACGAUUCUGCUCCACUGAUUUAUGUGUCUCCCCCUUAACCAGUAUCUGUACCUUAAUACUAAGUCUUUAAAUAAUGUGAUUCCUCCAAGUUUAUUCUUUCUCAGACUUAUUUUGACUAUUCCAGUUUGUCUGCCUAUCUAUGUAAAUAUUCCAAUCAGCUUUAAGGUUAAAAAAAACUCAAUACCUAUCUAUCUAUCCACACGCGCGCGCACACUCUCUCUCACACACACACACACACACACACACAUACACACAGAUCUACAGGCAUAUAUCUUCGCAAUAUUGCAGGUUCAGUUACAGACCACUGCAAUAAAGGAAAUAUUGCGAUAAAGCAAGUCAAGUGAUUUUUUUCUUGUUUCUCAGUGCGUAUAGGAGUUAUAUUUAUACUGUAGACUGUUAAAUGUGCAAUAGCAUUAUGUCUUAAAAAAGGGGUACGCCUUAAUUAAAUGUAUAGAACUUUAUUACUCCCAAAUGCCAACCAUCACCUGAGCUUUCAGUCAGUCAUAAUCACUCAUCAUAGAUCACCAUAACAAAUGCAGUAACAAGAAGUUUUUAAGAUUGCAAAGAUUACUAAAACAUGACACAAAGACAGUGAGCAAAUGCUGUUGGGAAAACGGCACCAAUAGACUUCCUUGAUGUGAGGUUGCCACAAACCUUCGAUUUGUAAAAAAAUGGAGUAUCUGCGAAGUGUGAUAAAGCUAAGUGGGAUAAAACAAGGUAUGCCUGUGUAAAUUAAUGGAUCUCAACUUUUCUUCAUUACCACCUUUUCCAAGGAGAAAAAUUGAAGUUAAAAUUCAAGCAAUUAUUUAUAAUUAAUACUAAAGAACAAGGUUUUGCUGGUUAGAGAGAAUUUUAUUUCUUCCUUUCAAAUCUAUUUAUUUCUUUUUCUUGUCUUACUGCACCAGCCAGGAUGUCAAGUAUGAUGUGGAAUAAACAUGUUGAGCAUGAACAUCCUGAAAUUAUUCUUGAAUUUAGCAGGAAAAACCUCCAAUCUUUCAUCAUGGUAUUAGUAUUCUGCAGUGGCUGAGAAUGCAGUUUUCAGUGAUUGCAACUACUAGCUCAUGUACUCUUUCUUGCUGUUUCUUUCUUUCCUCUGUUCUCUUCCAUCUUUUUUUAUCAUGUUCUCAUACUUAAGACUUCUUUUCUGUGCCAAAAUCGGUAACGUUAUACUGGGGAAGGGACACCGUCCUUUCAAAUGGGCCAUCUAAGGCAGCUAAUUAUGCAUCACAUUGAGGUCUCUACUGAGAAAAAUUCUGUGACUUGAACUAAAUAUUUUUAAAUGUGGAUUUUUUGGGAAAACUAAUCUUUAACAUUGUUUCUCCUGCAUGGCAAAACUGCCUAUUCUGCUACUUAAAAACCCUCAAUGCCUUUAUUUUCAACUGGCUGCUUUUUUCAUGUACAGCCAAAAUGAAAACGUCUAAAUUAACUAUGUUGUACAAAUGGUACCUAACACAAAAUUUUUAAAAAUUAGUAAGACUUUUGUUUUAUGUUUGCAUUUUGACUAUUUUCAUAAGGAUGUAGGUUGUGUGUUUAACCGUUAAUGUUAAAAACUGACGUGUGUGCAGAAUAUUCUACAUGCAUGUUCAUGUUUAAAGAAUGGCUGUUGACAAUAAUCAGCUUUCAUGUAAAAAAAAAUCAGGUUGAGGAAGUUUCCUUCUAUUUCUAGUUUGUUGACUUUGUAUUUUAUUUAUUUUAUUUUGAGAGAGAGCAUACAUGUGCAUGCAUGAGUCGGGGAGGGGCAGAGGAGGAAGAAGAAAAUCUUAAGUGGGAUCUGCGACUCCGGGCUCGAUCUUACAUAGUGAGAUCAUGAUCUGCACUAAAACCAAGAGUCGGAUACUCAACCAACUGAGCCAUCCAGGCGCCCCUAGUUGUGUUUAUCUUCAUGAACG